CAUGGUUUAAUGAUUUUUGCGGGGUGCACCCCCUCCUGAGAUCCCCGUACCCCUCCCUGAGGAAAAUCCUGGAUCCGCCCCUGUAACAUAAACGUUUAGCUUACUAAGCUUUGUUUUUUAGGGACUUGCAGCUCUUAAACACCUUUACCACUCCAAAGAUGAUGGCGUCCGGGUUAGAGCUCUUGUUGGAUUGUGCAAAGUGGGCACAACUGGAGGAGGGUCAGUUGAAGAUCAGACCUUUGCUGAAGGAGCGACAUUGAAACUGUAUAAAUCUGCUAGAAAAUAUCUCACAAAACCUAAAAAGGAAAUGGAUUUCCGUCGAUGGGCUGCUGAAGCAUUGUCAUUUUUAAGCAUGGAUGCUGAUGUUAAGGAGGAAUUUAUUGAGGACACUGCAGCCCUACAAGCUAUUAUCGAACUCACCAAG